rnacentral:rRNA from 1 species
GACGAACGCUGGCGGCGUGCCUAAUACAUGCAAGUCGAACGAAACUUUCUUACACCGAAUGUUUGCAUUCACCGUAAGAAGUUGAGUGGCGGACGGGUGAGUAACACGUGGGUAACCUGCCUAAAAGAAGGGGAUAACACUUGGAAACAGGUGCUAAUACCGUAUAUCUCUAAGGAUCGCAUGAUCCUUAGAUGAAAGAUGGUUCUGCUAUCGCUUUUAGAUGGACCCGCGGCGUAUUAACUAGUUGGUGGGGUAACGGCCUACCAAGGUGAUGAUACGUAGCCGAACUGAGAGGUUGAUCGGCCACAUUGGGACUGAGACACGGCCCAAACUCCUACGGGAGGCAGCAGUAGGGAAUCUUCCACAAUGGACGCAAGUCUGAUGGAGCAACGCCGCGUGAGUGAAGAAGGUCUUCGGAUCGUAAAACUCUGUUGUUAAAGAAGAACACGAGUGAGAGUAACUGUUUAUUCGAUGACGGUAUCUAACCAGCAAGUCACGGCUAACUACGUGCCAGCAGCCGCGGUAAUACGUAGGUGGCAAGCGUUGUCCGGAUUUAUUGGGCGUAAAGGGAACGCAGGCGGUCUUUUAAGUCUGAUGUGAAAGCCUUCGGCUUAACCGGAGUAGUGCAUUGGAAACUGGAAGACUUGAGUGCAGAAGAGGAGAGUGGAACUCCAUGUGUAGCGGUGAAAUGCGUAGAUAUAUGGAAGAACACCAGUGGCGAAAGCGGCUCUCUGGUCUGUAACUGACGCUGAGGUUCGAAAGCGUGGGUAGCAAACAGG